AGGUAAUGAAACUCGGGAAGACUACUAGCUAGCAAGGAGUUGAUGAGAGCCACGAGGUAGAAACCGUAUUUGAGCAUAAAUAGAAGAAAAAUACGACUCUCUUCUCCACCAACAGUCAGAUACUCCGUAUCUUUCUACGUCUCUUCUACUCUCUAUUUCUUUCUCUUUCUUCCUUUCUUUUCAGGCGUACGGACAAAAUCGUCUCGUCCAGGUUAACAAUCGUCAUCCCCCUACUCUUUAUUCUUUCCUUCCCCCUUUCUCUCGUCUUUUUAUCUUUCUACGUAUAAAUAAGGGUUCCAGGUCUUCUGUUUCGGGCAUUAAUAAUCUGGUUCCAAAGGCUCAGUUGGUAGAGCAGAUUUUUGAAGAAAUCGAGGGUUUCGCCUGGCGAGAUAGAGAAAGCAAUGGUGGAUAUCGAGUCAAGUGGAAGCGCCAACCGUAUUAAGAAGUGUGCGUUUGACCUACUCUCGAUGGGGGAUCUAAUGGACGAUGAGGAUUCGUGGGACCUCAUAGGGAGAGAUCUCCGCCUCAGAUCCACCUUCCUGUAUUGUGACUUCAACCAAGUGAUCUCCAGGGCGUCGGAGGAACAGAAGAAGCCUCUCACCGACCUUGCCAACAGAUUGUUCCACUACAUCGACGAGUUGAAUAGUGCGGUGAAAAUCCGAAACAUUCCGUUGACGCAAAACCGAUACAAUGAGACAGUACUGGUGUUGCAAGAAGUGAUGGCGCUUAUGCCUUGAGAUUUGGCUUCUAGAGUGAUCAGAGGGUCAGAAGGGUCCUUGGAUUUGUAUCUCUGUAUUGGCGACCUACCUGAUACCCAUAUCUGUAAAUACAAGUAUAUCGCUAUAAACAAGACCCAACUGGUUACAUAGAUA